CUGGCCUUGACAUCCUGCGAACUUUCUAGAGAUAGAUUGGUGCCUUCGGGAACGCAGUGACAGGUGCUGCAUGGCCGUCGUCAGCUCGUGUCGUGAGAUGUUGGGUUAAGUCCCGUAACGAGCGCAACCCCUAUCCCUAGUUGCUAGCAGUUCGGCUGAGAACUCUAGGGAGACUGCCGGUGACAAACCGGAGGAAGGUGGGGAUGACGUCAGGUCAUCAUGGCCCUUACGGCCAGGGCUACACACGUGCUACAAUGGUGCGUACAGAGGGCUGCAAACCCGCGAGGGGGAGCUAAUCUCACAAAACGCAUCGUAGUCCGGAUCGGAGUCUGCAACUCGACUCCGUGAAGUCGGAAUCGCUAGUAAUCGCGAAUCAGAAUGUCGCGGUGAAUACGUUCCC
rnacentral:rRNA from 1 species